rnacentral:rRNA from 1 species
AGACCCGAAACCCGGUGAUCUAGCCAUGGGCAGGUUGAAGGUUGGGUAACACUAACUGGAGGACCGAACCGACUAAUGUUGAAAAAUUAGCGGAUGACCUGUGGCUGGGGGUGAAAGGCCAAUCAAACCGGGAGAUAGCUGGUUCUCCCCGAAAGCUAUUUAGGUAGCGCCUCGUGAAUUCAUCUCCGGGGGUAGAGCACUGUUUCGGCUAGGGGGCCAUCCCGGCUUACCAACCCGAUGCAAACUGCGAAUACCGGAGAAUGUUAUCACGGGAGACACACGGCGGGUGCUAACGUCCGUCGUGAAGAGGGAAACAACCCAGACCGCCAGCUAAGGUCCCAAAGUCAUGGUUAAGUGGGAAACGAUGUGGGAAGGCCCAGACAGCCAGGAUGUUGGCUUAGAAGCAGCCAUCAUUUAAAGAAAGCGUAAUAGCUCACUGGUCGA